rnacentral:misc_RNA from 1 species
GUAGUCUCGCCUGAUCUGAGGUCUUGGUUGGUCGAACGGAUCUUUCCCGAGAGAGAGAAACGUUCCCUUUCCAGUCGUCCCACUGAGAAGGCAUCGGACACCUGCGAAACUCGGCUGCUCGGUGAGAUAUUACUACCACACCGAGAAGCACGGGCCACGAAGGGCUUCCGCACGACUCGGGAUCGCUCUACUUCAAGGGACCGUUCGCUUUGCAGCAAAGGGACACCUCAUUGCCCAAACCCUCGGGGAGGUUUGAUGUGAGAAACGACGCUCAGACAGACGUGCUCCUGGGAAUGCCCAAGAGCGCCAUUUGCGUUCAAAGAUUCGAUGAUUCACUAAAUUCUGCAAUUCACAUUACUUAUCGCAGUUUGCUGCGUUCUUCAUCGAUACACGAGCCAAGAGAUCCACCGUUUAAAGUUGUUCGCUUUUAAGUAACUCUCGUUCGGACGGAUCCGACCGAGGAAUCGAUACGUUAAGUCAUUGAGGUUUGAAACGUGGGUAAAAAACUAAUUCGGGGCUCGCCUAGCAGACCGAAGUCCACCGUACCCACUGACGAUUUAACGAUCGGGGAGAGUUUUUACGUCUCCUCGACCGACCCCGAAGAACAGCAUCAAUUGAAACCGCUAAGGCAAGUAAGAUUGGAUUCGUUAAUGAUCCUUCCGCAGGUUCACCUACGGAAACCUUGUUACGACUUUUACUUCCUCUAAAUGAUCAAGUUUGAGCAAGUUCUCGGCGGCACCGUGCCUCGCGGCAUGGCGUCGCCAAUCUCGAGAUCUCACUAAACCAUUCAAUCGGUAGUAGCGACG